rnacentral:misc_RNA from 1 species
CAAGUACAAGAAAAUUUGGGUAAGCUCAUAAUCUUUUUUUUUUUUUAAAACGAUAAGAAACAUAUACAAUCCCUCUUAUUUAAGAUGAACAAAGAACUACAAGCCCGUCCACAUAAUAACAACGAUCUACAAGGACUCCAGCUCAUAAAAAGCAGACAAGAAAUUAAACGAAAAGAAAUGGAAAAAAAAAAAAGAUUAAUGAGCUUACCCAAAUUUUCUUGUACUUGAUUUAUCUACAUAUUGAUGCGAUCAUCUUAUCUU